rnacentral:lncRNA from 1 species
GAGAAAUGUCUAUUGUACUAUAAGCUGCACAGUCUGUGGUAUUUUCUUAUAUGAGCCCAAAUGGACAAGGACGGAAAAUAUUACAAGGUAGUGGUAACAAAAAAUAAUGUUUCAACAGACAUACUUUAUAAGUAAUGUUUUGCUAAUUGUGAUAUUUAAACAGAAUGAUUCCAGAUAAAACUCCUUGACACAGUCAGGAAGGCUAAGAAACAGCAUUAAGUAACAGGGCAAAAAUAAUUGGAAAUAAAAUUUUUCUGCAGAAACUUUAAGGAUGGAUCAAUUAUCCUAAACAUGGUCUUCUGAAGACUACUUUCAUACUUGAUUUUUGAAAGUGUAGACUUUCGCUUAUUUACCAAUUUCCUCCAUAAUUAAUGGCAUUCUUUGCCUGUUUCUAAAUCACACUAUCCAUAUCCCCAUACUUAUUUUCCUUCCUUAUUGCAGAAUUUAAUUUCUAGUAUUCACACUUUGUUUUCCAACUCUUUUGUAUCUAAAAAAAAAAAAAAAAAACCUUGAGCUAACUUGUCAUGAGUAAUAGGAAGAUAUUUGUACUGGAAGCACUGGCCAUGAUAUCCAAGUGUUUGCAAUGAAAAGUUGUCACUUUAUGGUAUCUUUCAAAACUCAGUGAGUGGCCUGGACAUUGUGCUUAUUCUUGCCAGGUGCUAAAAUCUAUCCACUAAGUUUUAACAUCAUUAAUUCUGUAGCAUAAGGGAGUUGCCAAGAUUCAACCCAGUUUCAACUCUAGCGAUCAUGAAGUGAGUGAUACAUUUAUGAUAAAAUCCAACUUCAUGUUGUGUAUCUUCAGGAUUCAGACAUGUACAACCACCUGGAAUUUCUUGGCUUUGACCUGACAAGUUCCCCAGUCUUCAGGGAUGGUUGCUGUAGUUACGCCGACCAUCAUGUUCUCUUGUCUUCUAUGAUAAACUGAGAUACUAAGAGCAGUAGCAAGUAAAACCCCAGGAAAACCUGCAGCCAUGUCUCUUUUUUAAAUACACCGAGAAUGAAACUUGAUGACUUCAGAAGUUUUUGAUUUUAAUAAUUAUAUUUUAAAAAUCUGUUCAAGCAGUUAAAUCAUCAGAAAGUAGAAGCUCUUAUAAUUGUAAUCUGUUGGGGGUUUGAAGUGGGAUAAAAACAUAACUUUAAAUGUAAUCCAGAGUAUUUUGUGCAUAUGCUUCAGAAUAAAGGUAAGCAUACCAUUUAAAAGGAGUUAAUA